rnacentral:rRNA from 1 species
UACGAAGGGGGCUAGCGUUGUUCGGAAUCACUGGGCGUAAAGCGCACGUAGGCGGGUUCUUAAGUCAGGGGUGAAAUCCCGAGGCUCAACCUCGGAACUGCCUUUGAUACUGAGAGUCUUGAGUUCGGAAGAGGUUGGUGGAACUGCGAGUGUAGAGGUGAAAUUCGUAGAUAUUCGCAAGAACACCAGUGGCGAAGGCGGCCAACUGGUCCGAUACUGACGCUGAGGAGCGAAAAGCGUGGGUAGCAAACAGG